UACGAAGGGGGCUAGCGUUGUUCGGAAUUACUGGGCGUAAAGCGCGCGCAGGCGGCUAUCCAAGUCAGUGGUGAAAGCCCGGAGCUCAACUCCGGAACUGCCAUUGAAACUGUUUAGCUUGAGUAUGAGAGAGGUGAGUGGAAUUCCCAGUGUAGAGGUGAAAUUCGUAGAUAUUGGGAAGAACACCGGUGGCGAAGGCGGCUCACUGGCCCAUUACUGACGCUCAGGCGCGACAGCGUGGGGAUCAAACAGG
rnacentral:rRNA from 1 species